GAUGAACGCUGGCGGCGUGCCUAACACAUGCAAGUCGAACGGAGUCCAGCCUUUAAGACCUUCGGGUCAAAGAGGGGAAGACUGAGUGGCGGACGGGUGAGGAACACGUGGGCAACCUGGCUCAUAGAGGGGGAUAACAGAGAGAAAUUUCUGCUAAUACCGCAUAAGCACACCCUGCCGCAUGGCAGAGGGUGAAAAGAGAAUCGCUAUGAGAUGGACCCGCGUCUGAUUAGCCAGUUGGCAGGGUAAGAGCCUACCAAAGCGACGAUCAGUAGCCGAGCUGAGAGGCUGGACGGCCACAUUGGGACUGAGACGCGGCCCAGACUCCUACGGGAGGCAGCAGUGGGGGAUAUUGCACAAUCGGGGGAACCCUGAUGCAGCGCCGCCGCGUGAGUGAAGAAGUAUUUCGGUAUGUAAAGCUCUAUCAGCAGGGAAGAUAAUGACAGUACCUGAAUAAGAAGCCCCGGCUAACUACGUG
rnacentral:rRNA from 1 species